UCAAAGGCCACCGAUAACCGAUAUCGGAAAGUGGGUAGUCCGAUGUGUAAACAGGUCGAUUACUCUCAAAUUGAAUUUAGUUGGGUUUAUACAGCGUCUAUUCACAUGAACUGUUUAAUGUUAUAUUUUUGGAUUUUACUAUUUAAAUAGAUCAACAAAUUCAUUUCAGAAACCAUUGGAAGUUUUGUUGUUCACCUGUCACUGAUAUCAAUCAGAAAAUUGGAGAUCGAAUAGAAGUUGACGAUUAUUGAUAUACGUACUACAAAUGUGAAGUCUCUCAACCUACUACUUCGAAUAAGAUGCGACAGAGGCACACCACUCAACAAGCAACAUAGCUGAUACAAGCCAUUCUAAGUUCUCCAGAAGCUCAACUUACACCUACAACGGUGGAAUAGAGAAAAGAACAUCACUAGUUGAUACGCAACACAUUCGAAAAGAAAUAGUGCCCAUGGGAUAUUAAGUCGUGAACUGCAGAUCACAAAAUGAGAUGAUUUCCAAAUCAAACAUGACUUGUUGACUAAAACUUAUAUUGGUAAAACAACAAUGGGUUCAUGGAACGUUAACAUUUACAUUUUGUCAAGUCAAACUGGUCAGUAGCAAAACUGCUUUUAAGAGUAUUGGAUAUUUCACAGCUGUUCUCGCGUUGCAUCUAUAUCGAAAUCGAUACAUCUAUGGACCAUUGAAAUAUGAAGCCGCAGCUUUCAAUCUUUUAUUAGAGGCCUUCAGAUCAACCUUCAUGUCAUUCUAAAUGAAAUUAUUAUCGUUCAGCACAUGCAUUCAUUGAAAGUUACGAUCGAGCACCACGAAUUUGAAGUAUGGACUGCGGGUCAAAAAUACUGGACUAAUCAAAAUAGGUUUGUGAGAGGCGAAAUGUUGAUUGAAUUUUAUCAAAUAAUUUCGAAUUGGGUGUAACGGCUACGUUCAAUGAUAACUAGUGAAGUUGUUUACGCACGCAGGAAUGGUUGUUAUCAAAGCGAUUUGUGGAUUUUAAACUCAAUCUGAAAGAUAACGGCAAUAAGGAAACGUGUAUUUACAUAAAAAUAAUGACAUUAUCCUCAUCGCUCAAUGUUCUGAAUGUUGAUAAAAUGAGUGUUUUUCAUAA